CUUGAUCGACCCCAGCCAUAGCGGCCGGUCCGUCGGCCGAUCCUGCCCGUAGGUCGCCAGCAGCGCCUGGGCCUC
rnacentral:antisense_RNA from 1 species